AUGGGUAUCUUGCUUGGUUACAGUGCUCAGGGGGCUUGCAAGUUUGGGUUCUACAAGUUCUUUAAGAAGACCUACUCAGAUAUGGCUGGGCCUGACAAUGCCGUGAAGUACAAGACCCUAAUUUACCUUGCAGGUUCAACUUCUGUUGAGGUAAUUUCUGAUAUCACUCUGUGCCCCUUUGAAGCUGUCAAGUAG
rnacentral:rRNA from 1 species